rnacentral:lncRNA from 1 species
CUUUAACUCAGCAGCCACAUCCUCAACCAGGGGCACUUCCGCAUCAACAAUAUCAGCAGGCCCCUCAUCCUCAGUACUCUCAGCCAUCACCACAUCUACCUCAACAACAGCCACCACAUUCAUCCGGACCUCAUCUACCUCAACAACAGCCACCGCAUUCAUCCGGACCUCAUCUACCUCAGCAACAGCCACCACAUUCAUCCGGAAAUCCACCUCAAAUGCAACCUUCACUAGGUCACCAUCUAGAGGAACCACCUUAUGUUCCUUCUCAGAAUUAUCCUCCCAAUCUCCGCCAGCCACCAUCUCAGUCACCCAGUGGACCUCCU